GAUGCGUUGGCAGAGCGGCUAUUGCAGCGGAUUGCAACCCCGUGUCCCUCCGGUUCGAGUCCGGAACGCAUCUCCA
rnacentral:tRNA from 1 species